AACGCACAUUGCGCCCAUUAGUAUUCUAGUGGGCAUGCCUGUUCGAGCGUCAUUACAACCCUCAAGUGCUUUAGUGCUUGGUGUUGGGGCUUCUGCUGCUUGCAGCAGGCCCUGAAAGAUAGUGGCGAGGUCGCCGUGACCCUGAGCGUAGUAAUUUACACCUCGCUUCUGUGGCUCGCGGCGGGUUCUCAGCCGUGAAACCCCCAAUUUUCACAAGGUUGACCUCGGAUCAGGUAGGAAUACCCGCUGAACUUAA
rnacentral:misc_RNA from 1 species